UGGCUCAGAACGAACGCUGGCGGCAGGGCCUAACACAUGCAAGUCGAGCGAGGACUUCGGUCCUAGCGGCGGACGGGUGAGUAACGCGUGGGAACGUGCCCUUUGGUACGGAAUAGCCCCGGGAAACUGGGAGUAAUACCGUAUGGUGUCUUCGGACUAAAGAUUUAUCGCCAAAGGAUCGGCCCGCGUUGGAUUAGGUAGUUAGUGGGGUAAUGGCCUACCAAGCCGACGAUCCAUAGCUGGUUUGAGAGGAUGAUCAGCCACACUGGGACUGAGACACGGCCCAGACUCCUACGGGAGGCAGCAGUGGGGAAUCUUAGACAAUGGGGGCAACCCUGAUCUAGCCAUGCCGCGUGAGUGAUGAAGGCCCUAGGGUUGUAAAGCUCUUUCAGCUGGGAAGAUAAUGACGGUACCAGCAGAAGAAGCCCCGGCUAACUCCGUG
rnacentral:rRNA from 1 species